rnacentral:rRNA from 1 species
UACGUAGGGUGCAGGCGUUUAAUCGGAAUUACUGGGCGUAAAGCGUGCGCAGGCGGUCUCUUAAGACAGGUGUGAAAUCCCCGAGCUUAACUUGGGAAUUGCGCUUGUGACUGGCGUGCUGGAGUGUGGCAGAGGGAGGUGGAAUUCCACGUGUAGCAGUGAAAUGCGUAGAGAUGUGGAGGAACACCGAUGGCGAAGGCAGCCUCCUGGGCCAGCACUGACGCUCAUGCACGAAAGCGUGGGGAGCAAACAGG